GUUGCUUCUUGGCCUUUUGGUUAAGGUCAAGUGUAGUAGCUGUUCUUAUCAGUUUGGUAUCUAUAUGUUCUCUAUCUGUGGAUGAUAUAUUAAAUGAAUUUUUGAAGCAGGAAAGGUGCACCCCCU
rnacentral:snRNA from 1 species